GGCGGUGUAGCUCAGUUGGUCAGAGCACACGGUUCAUACCCGUGGUGUCACUGGUUCGAAUCCAGUCACAGCUACCA
rnacentral:tRNA from 1 species